AACACCCACAAACAACGUCACGACGCAACGUGGUUAAACAGUACGUUUAUUAAAGUAACUGGGUGAACGACAUCGGAGCGGACUGCAAAUCGCAACGCUACUUUCUCGAGUGCAGAUACUCUUCGAGACGGCUAAACAACGUGUCCAACUCGCUGAGACCUUUCCGCGUGCCGUUAUCCGAUUUCCUUUCCGCCUCCUGAGACAGCCGACUAAUCACGGACUUAUCUCCGCAACCUAACAGAGGCUGGGAGCCCGACAAAAGUAAAACAGCGUGCUAUGAACACGUUGUUACCUCUGCGCGGACAGCGCCGCCACAGAGACACUUACGCAUUGCCGCAUGUCUUUGUAGAUGGAUUCUAGCGUCGAGCGCAUACUAUGCAAUUCCGUCUUAAGUCCAGGAUAGACGUGGUCGCCUGCGGGGAACACGAUCUCCAGAUACCGCCUCAACAACCAGUCCAUGACGCUGCAUCCCCAACAGCCUUUGACCACCGUACCGUCGAGCCACACGGAGUAGUCGUCCUCACGUUGCUACAAGAGGAAAACUACGUCACUCGACACGCGGAAAAGAAAGACCGUCGCAAUAAACCGUACCUACGUGACCUACCAACGUAGGUUUUACUCGAUGAAAGGUGACGCGGAGAUCUUGCAAUCUGGUCGCGUAAUCCUCCGGACGACACUGCGGCUUUGUAUUCUUUAUCGUCGUCGUCGUCGUCGUCGCCGCCGGCUUCGCCUCCUCGGAAGCGCCUAGAAAAAAGACGAUCAGGACCAGAGAGGAAGAGACCAUCACCGACAGCAUCGCCGCAGCAUGCCGCCCCAAUCCGCCGCCCAACUGCGCGUCCCAGAUACCACUCGUAGACUGUCAGCCUCGCGAGGAGACACCGCGGACCGGGGAAACGGAUAAGUUUACGAACAGAAAUCUCAAGAUAAAGACGCUGACCCGGCAAGUACCGUCACGGAGAUACGGUGGUUUUUAUUGAAUUUCCAGUGUAUCGAGCCACCGUGAUGCAGGUACGGUGGUUUUAUGUGAAGUGCCGCUAUCUAUAGGCGAUGUGUUCCCUGACGGUGUGUGUUUUUUGGGGAUAGACAACGUGGUUCUUGUACGUGGUUUUUACCCUGCUCAAUAAAGUCACGUUUUCCUUACACGGUGUUGUGUC
rnacentral:sRNA from 1 species